GAAAAUGCUCCGAGCCGGUUAACCUAAGGAUAGUCGGGUACGCCUCGGAUGUUCAGGGUAGUUGGACUGUCUAGGGUUGCCGGCCGCUGCCAGGGAUACCUGGCUAAGGGUUUAGCGGGAAACCGCUAUGCCUCCCGUGUUCGGAAAGGAGGGAA
rnacentral:ncRNA from 1 species